CCCAGAAGCCAGGUGGCCAGCCAAGGCAAGGGAGGAAGAAACCCCAGCUCCAGGGGCUCAGCAGGCAAAGGGAAUCACUGAGUGGGGGCACCACCCGUGGACUCCAAUAUCUCAACCUCUCCCUCCACAGGUUGGAGGUGGGAGGAACAACCCCCACCAAACCCAGAGCCGAAAACUGAGGGAGUUUUACAGACAGGACGGAGCUCCUGCACCUCGGAGCCUCAGUUGGGAAUGACCUGGGGUCUUGUCCUGAAGCUGAGUCUGGUGAACGUGCCCCAUUUGUAACAUGAGGGGUACUUCUCUGGAGGGACUGUAUGUUGACAGUGGCAGAGUGGAGCCCUGAAGUCCACCUGAGUGAAUAUACCAGGGCUUGAGAA
rnacentral:lncRNA from 1 species